rnacentral:rRNA from 1 species
GACGAACGCUGGCGGCGUGCUUAACACAUGCAAGUCGAACGGAAAGGCCCUGCUUUUGUGGGGUGCUCGAGUGGCGAACGGGUGAGUAACACGUGAGUAACCUGCCCUUGACUUUGGGAUAACUUCAGGAAACUGGGGCUCAUACCGGAUAGGAGCUCCUGCUGCAUGGUGGGGGUUGGAAAGUUUCGGCGGUUGGGGAUGGACUCGCGGCUUAUCAGCUUGUUGGUGGGGUAGUGGCUUACCAAGGCUUUGACGGGUAGCCGGCCUGAGAGGGUGACCGGCCACAUUAGGACUGAGAUACGGCCCAGACUCCUACGGGAGGCAGCAGUGGGGAAUAUUGCACAAUGGGCGGAAGCCUGAUGCAGCAACGCCGCGUGCGGGAUGACGGCCCUCGGGUUGUAAACCGCUUUCGCCUGUGACGAAGCGUGAGUGACGGUAAUGGGUAAAGAAGCACCGGCUAACUACGUG